rnacentral:rRNA from 1 species
GACGAACGCUAGCGGCAGGCCUAAUACAUGCAAGUCGAACGGUAAGGUCUCUUCGGAGAUACACGAGUGGCGCACGGGUGCGUAACGCGUAUGCAACCUACCUAUCAUUGGAGGAUAGUCGCGGGAAACUGCGAAUAAUACUCCGUACGCUGUAGAUUCGGCAUCGAAUUUACAGGAAAGCUCCGGCGUUGAUAGAUGGGCAUGCGUGACAUUAGCUAGUUGGUGAGGUAACGGCUCACCAAGGCAACGAUGUCUAGCUGGUCUGAGAGGAUGAUCAGCCACACGGGCACUGAGACACGGGCCCGACUCCUACGGGAGGCAGCAGUAAGGAUAUUGGACAAUGGGGAACCCUGAUCCAGCCAUGCCGCGUGGUGGAAGACGGCCC